AUGAACGCUGGCGGCGUGCCUAAUACAUGCAAGUCGAGCGAACGGACGAGAAGCUUGCUUCUCUGAUGUUAGCGGCGGACGGGUGAGUAACACGUGGAUAACCUACCUAUAAGACUGGGAUAACUUCGGGAAACCGGAGCUAAUACCGGAUGAUAUUUUGAACCGCAUGGUUCAAAAGUGAAAGACGGUCUUGCUGUCACUUAUAGAUGGAUCCGCGCUGCAUUAGCUAGUUGGUAAGGUAACGGCUUACCAAGGCAACGAUGCAUAGACGACCUGAGAGGGUGAUCGGCCACACUGGAACUGAGACACGGUCCAGACUCCUACGGGAGGCAGCAGUAGGGAAUCUUCCGCAAUGGGCGAAAGCCUGACGGAGCAACGCCGCGUGAGUGAUGAAGGUCUUCGGAUCGUAAAACUCUGUUAUUAGGGAAGAACAUAUGUGUAAGUAACUGUGCACAUCUUGACGGUACCUAAUCAGAAAGCCACGGCUAACUACGUG
rnacentral:rRNA from 1 species